AUGAAUGGUCUCAAGUUGAAUUUCUUUCCAUCUUCCCCAUCUGUUCACUAUGGCUUUAAUUAAAUCUACUGAGAGUCUUUUUGGCCCUCCAUUCAAAAUAGAUAUUCUCUUCAGCUGUGCCAGUGUCCACUCAUUCUUGCUCUGAAUUGCCAGGUGUUAAUGAGCAGACACUUUGGGGUGGAGUUUUUUAGGGGGCUUCUGAGCUCUAUUUUUCUCU